CCUACGGGUGGCAGCAGUGAGGAAUAUUGGUCAAUGGACGUAAGUCUGAACCAGCCAAGUAGCGUGAAGGAUGACUGCUCUAUGGUUUGUAAACCUCUUUUAUAAGGGAAUAAAGUGAGGCACGUGUCCCGUUUUGCAUGUACUUUAUGAAUAAGGAUCGGCUAACUCCGUGCCAGCAGCCGCGGUAAUACGGAGGAUCCGAGCGUUAUCCGGAUUUAUUGGGUUUAAAGGGUGCGUAGAUGGGUUGUUAAGUCAGUUGUGAAAGUUUGUGGCUCAACCGUAAAAUUGCAAUUGAUACUGGCAGGCUUGAGUACAGUUGAGGUAGGCGGAAUGCGUGGUGUAGCGGUGAAAUGCAUAGAUAUCACGAAGAACCCCGAUUGCGAAGGCAGCUUACUAAGCCGUGACUGACAUUGAUGCUCGAAAGCGUGGGUAUCGAACAGGAUUAGAUACCCGGGUAGUC
rnacentral:rRNA from 1 species